UACGGAGGGUGCAAGCGUUGUUCGGAAUUACUGGGCGUAAAGCGCGUGUAGGCGGUUAUCCAAGUCGGGUGUGAAAGCCUUGAGCUCAACUCAAGAAAUGCACUCGGUACUGGGUGACUAGAGGACCGGAGAGGAUAGUGGAAUUCCCAGUGUAGUGGUGAAAUACGUAGAGAUUGGGAAGAACACCAGUGGCGAAGGCGGCUAUCUGGACGGUUUCUGACGCUAAGACGCGAAAGCGUGGGGAGCAAACAGG
rnacentral:rRNA from 1 species